rnacentral:rRNA from 1 species
GAUGAACGCUGGCGGCGUGCCUAAUACAUGCAAGUCGAGCGAACAGACGAGGAGCUUGCUCCUCUGACGUUAGCGGCGGACGGGUGAGUAACACGUGGAUAACCUACCUAUAAGACUUGGAUAACUUCGGGAAACCGGAGCUAAUACCGGAUAAUAUAUUGAACCGCAUGGUUCAAUAGUGAAAGACGGUUUUGCUGUCACUUAUAGAUGGAUCCGCGCCGCAUUAGCUAGUUGGUAAGGUAACGGCUUACCAAGGCAACGAUGCGUAGCCGACCUGAGAGGGUGAUCGGCCACACAGGAACUGAGACACGGUCCAGACUCCUACGGGAGGCAGCAGUAGGGAAUCUUCCGCAAUGGGCGAAAGCCUGACGGAGCAACGCCGCGUGAGUGAUGAAGGUCUUCGGAUCGUAAAACUCUGUUAUUAGGGAAGAACAAAUGUGUAAGUAACUAUGCACGUCUUGACGGUACCUAAUCAGAAAGCCACGGCUAACUACGUG